UUAUAAGCACUUGAUUUUAUCGCGUCCAAACACCAGUCGGUAAAACAAUUCAAACUGGAUCCGAUUCCGAUUUUGCUGUUGAAAGGAAAAGCACCAAAAAUGGCAUUAUACGGGUAACGGGUCCCCCCUUAAAUCCAGACCCAAAAUUGGGUGUCGAUCAGUGAUUAGGCGAAAAUCGCUGACGAAACGGUUACAAAGGUCCGCGAAACACAAGCACACACGCACGCACGUUGUGUGUUGUGCGAUGACAUUCAUAUGACGAUGCAAGUUGCUCGGUCGCCGACAGACAAAAGCCACCACCACUCGGAGGAGUCGGAGUAGCUGAAUGUGAGGUGAGUUUGUCGAUCUUUUGAGUGUUCAGUAGGGUUUUGAAUUGAGUAUGGAAGACGUAUCAGAGAGGUCAGAGCUGCGCAGAAUGCAAAGGGAGCAAGAAAGAGAAAGGCGCCGAAUGCGUGACAGGGAAAGAAGACAGUCAAUGACUCUUGAGCAGAGGGAGAAACAUCUUGCUAGGCGUCGUAGAAACUAUCAAUUGAGAAGAAUAAGAGCUGAAAGUGCGAGAUCAGGCUCUCAAACUGGACAAACAAGUAUGGUGACUGGAGGUGAAACCAUCACCGGUGAUGACCAUCCAGCAGUAACUUCUGUUUCAGGACUUAGUGUCAAGUGUAAUGGUAUUACUCAUGUUGGAAUUAAUCAAGGCGAAGAAAAGCUAGAUGUGGAAUGCUUAGAGUCUGAGGUUUUGCAAGCUUUGGUCCACAAAUCAACUAAUUUCCCAGGAAGGUUACGACUAAGUCAUAUAAGACAUCUUGCAAGAUCAUUAAAUAAUUCUAUAGAUGGGCCUGCUGGCAAUUACCAAAUGGUGGCAACACUCAUAACCAAGGAGGAUGCUGCUAGUAACUGUUUGCAAGUUGGAGACUCUGAUUCUUGUAGAUCACCGCAGAGUUUACGUUUAAAUCGUGUUAAGCGUCUUGCUCGUACAUUAAACAAUUCAGCAAAUGCUGCUAUGAAAGAGGCUACCGGUCAAACCACCGAAGUGGCAAAGAAGGAUGAACAUCUAUCAUUGGCUAUUGAAGAGAGGGGAAACCUUUAACUUGGUCACAUGUGAGAAAUGAAGUUUGCUUAGCUUUUCUUAGAAGGUUCAAGACUGAAUAUACGACGGAGAAAACGAAAAGGAAUUACUUCAUGGGCAUGGAUUAACUGUUGGACAAGGCUGUGUGAUGUUUAGAAUUACAUGACCGUAGGAAUAACCAGAGAGACUGAAGCUUGAUACUGCCAUUCAGCAGCUAGGUGAAUUGUGUCGGCGCCUUUUAAUUAACAAUUCUUUUAGGAUUUUCCCAAGCAUUGAUUACACACAUUUACUUGUAUGCAAAUGUUUAAUUGGUUUUCUGGGUUAGUUGUUGCUCGAUGAUUUUCUGUUGAGUUUAGUUGGUAUGAAGAUUAAGCUUGAGUACUAUUUCGGAAAUUCAAUUGGUUUUCGGUAAGCAAUUAAUAUAUUCCAUGUAAACAGUUUUUUUUAAUUUAUUUAUUUUUAUUUUUA